UACGUAGGGUGCAGGCGUUAAUCGGAAUUACUGGGCGUAAAGCGUGCGCAGGCGGUUUGCUAAGACAGGUGUGAAAUCCCCGGGCUUAACCUGGGAACUGCGCUUGUAACUGGCAAGCUAGAGUGUGGCAGAGGGGGGUGGAAUUCCACGUGUAGCAGUGAAAUGCGUAGAUAUCAGGAGGAAUACCGAUGGCGAAGGCAGGUCUCUGGGCUGACACUGACGCUCAUGCACGAAAGCGUGGGGAGCAAACAGG
rnacentral:rRNA from 1 species